rnacentral:rRNA from 1 species
AUUGAACGCUGGCGGCAGGCCUAACACAUGCAAGUCGAACGGUAACAGGAAGAAGCUUGCUUCUUUGCUGACGAGUGGCGGACGGGUGAGUAAUGUCUGGGAAACUGCCUGAUGGAGGGGGCUAACUACUGGAAACGGUAGCUAAUACCGCAUAACGUCGCAAGACCAAAGAGGGGGACCUUCGGGCCUCUUGCCAUCGGAUGUGCCCAGAUGGGAUUAGCUAGUAGGUGGGGUAACGGCUCACCUAGGCGACGAUCCCUAGCUGGUCUGAGAGGAUGACCAGCCACACUGGAACUGAGACACGGUCCAGACUCCUACGGGAGGCAGCAGUGGGGAAUAUUGCACAAUGGGCGCAAGCCUGAUGCAGCCAUGCCGCGUGUAUGAAGAAGGCCUUCGGGUUGUAAAGUACUUUCAGCGGGGAGGAAGGGAGUAAAGUUAAUACCUUUACUCAUUGACGUUACCCGCAGAAGAAGCACCGGCUAACUCCGUG